rnacentral:rRNA from 1 species
UACGUAGGGUGCAAGCGUUGUCCGGAAUCACUGGGCGUAAAGCGCACGUAGGCGGAUAUUUAAGUUAGGGGUGAAAUCCCGGGGCUCAACCCCGGAACUGCCUUUAAUACUGGGUAUCUUGAGUUCGAGAGAGGUGAGUGGAAUUCCGAGUGUAGAGGUGAAAUUCGUAGAUAUUCGGAGGAACACCAGUGGCGAAGGCGGCUCACUGGCUCGAUACUGACGCUGAGGUGCGAAAGCGUGGGGAGCAAACGGG